AUGGUUGCUAAAGCGAUCUCUGGAUCUAUUACCAGGUCCAGACAUUCGACGGGCAUCGCUUGCAUCGUUGUUGUUGCUGCUUGUGCAUCCGGUGCCACAGCCACAUCUGGUGCCACAGCCACAUCCGGUGCCACAGCCACAUCCGGUGCCACAGCCACAUCCGGUGCCACAGCCACAUCCGGUGCCACAGCCACAUCUGGUGCCACAGCCACAUCUGGUGCCACAGCCACAUCUGGUGGCAGAUCCAGAGUCGCCGCUGCAUCUUCACAUGCAGCUACAACCUCACCCGAUACCGAUUCUACAGCCGCUUCCUCUGUUAAAGGUUCUGCAGCUUCAGCUGGGACUGGAGUGACACCCAGAACCUCAUUUCCAGUUGUAGUUUCACUUGGUGGGACUGGUUCUACUGGUUCUACUGGUUCUGCAAUCUUGUGUAUCACUGAUUCUGUACCUUCAUUUGGUGAAGGUCCUGAAGUCUCCAGUGGCGUUUGUUCUGCAGGCUCAUUCAGUUCGGGUUCUGUUUCCUCAGUUGUUAUUUGCCCUGCAUCCUCUGUUGAAGAUGGUUCUAUAUCAUCACAUGGUUCUGGUCUCGAGGCCUCAUUUGACAAUACUGGUUCUAUGAUCUCACUUAAUGGUGGGUUUACAUCUUCACUUGGUUCGGGUCCUUCGGUCUCUAUUGUUGCUUGCUGUGCCUCACGAGUUGGUGCAGAUUCUGCUGUCUCAGUUGUUGUUGGACCUCUGUCCUCACUUGGGGUUGGUUCUGUGUUGUCACAUGGUACUGGUCCUGCAGAUUUACUUGAUACUGGUUCUAUGGGCUCACCUAAUGGUAGUGCUGCUUCCUCACUAGGUUCUGGUCCUUUGCAGUCAAUUGAUGCUUGUUCUGUAUCACGAUUCGGAGACGGUUCCAUUGACUCAAUUGUUGGUCCUCUGUCCUCGCUUGGAGCUGGGUCGGUCUUGUCACUUGAUUCUGGUCCAACAGCCUCAUUUGGUACUGGUCCUGCAGACUCACUGGAUGCCGUUUCUGUGGUUUCACUUACUGGUAGUCCUGCUUCAUCACUUGGUCCAGAUUCUGUCUGUAUAAUUGGUGCUUGUUCUGGAUUAUCACCUGGUACUGGUUCUGUGGGCUCAGCAGUUUCAAGGUCUGUGGGCUCGCUGGGUGCUGGCUCUGUGGGCGCAGUCGGUGCUUGUUCAGCUUCCUCAUCAGGUACUGGUUCUGUGGGCUCAGCAGUUGCAAGGUCUGUGGUCUCACUUGACCCUGGCUCAGUGGGCACAGUUGUUCCUGGUUCCGUGGGCCCGCUCAGGACUGGCUCUGUGGACUUAGUUGUUCCUGGUCUGGCAGCUUGGUCAGAUGUUAACACUGCUGCCUCUUCCUCAACCAUUAAAGCCUCCAAUGGUUCAGAACCGGUGGUUUCAGCAGAACCAAUGGUAACUUCUGGAGCUGUCUCGGCAGAAACUUCCUCCACCAAAGCCACAGUCUCUGUCAGCAUAGCUACAAACUCCGGUUCCUUCUGUGUGGCCUCAUUCAAGGGUUGGUCGAUGGAAGCGUCCUCUAGUGGGGUCUCUAUGGGACCAGCAUCUUCCUGGGGGAGGGUCUCCACAGCCUCUUCAGAAGCCUCAAGUUCAGCACAGAUUUCAGCUGGAUCAACAGGGGCAACAUCUUCCAUCCAAGGAUCUUUGUCUUCAUGGAAACAGAGAUCCUCCUGGGCCUCCGUGGCUAAUAAUACAUCCUGCGUUUCAUUAUCAGUCACUGGUUGGAGAUCUUCUGGUAAGGCAGUCUGA
ensembl:lncRNA